rnacentral:rRNA from 1 species
UGAGGAAUAUUGGUCAAUGGGCGAGAGCCUGAACCAGCCAAGUAGCGUGCAGGAUGACGGCCCUCCGGGUUGUAAACUGCUUUUAGUUGGGAAUAAAACAGCGGACUUGUCCGCUCUUGUAUGUAUCUUCAGAAAAAGGACCGGCUAAUUCCGUGCCAGCAGCCGCGGUAUUACGGAAGGUCCGGGCGUUAUCCGGAUUUAUUGGGUUUAAAGGGAGCGUAGGCGGAUUGUUAAGUCAGCGGUUAAAGGGUGUGGCUCAACCAUGCAUUGCCGUUGAAACUGGCGAUCUUGAGUGCAGACAGGGAUGCCGGAAUUCGUGGUGUAGCGGUGAAAUGCUUAGAUAUCACGAAGAACUCCGAUCGCGAAGGCAGGUGUCUGGGCUGCAACUGACGCUGAGGCUCGAAAGUGUGGGUAUCAAACAGG